UCCCGAGCGUUNUCCGGAUUUAUUGGGCGUAAAGGGAGCGCAGGCGGUCAGGAAAGUNUGGAGUAAAAGGCUAUGGCUCAACCAUAGUGUGCUCUGGAAACUGUCUGACUUGAGUGCAGAAGGGGAGAGUGGAAUUCCAUGUGUAGCGGUGAAAUGCGUAGAUAUAUGGAGGAACACCAGUGGCGAAAGCGGCUCUCUGGUCUGUCACUGACGCUGAGGCUCGAAAGCGUGGGUAGCGAACAGGAUUAGAUACCCUGGUAGUCCACGCCGUAAACGAUGAGUGCUAGGUGUUAGGCCCUUUCCGGGGCUUAGUGCCGGAGCUAACGCAAUAAGCACUCCGCCUGGGGAGUACGACCGCAAGGUUGAAACUCAAAGGAAUUGACGGGGGCCCGCACAAGCGGUGGAGCAUGUGGUUUAAUUCGAAGCAACGCGAAGAACCUUACCAGGUCUUGACAUCCCGAUGCUAUUCUUAGAGAUAGGAAGUUACUUCGGUACAUCGGAGACAGGUGGUGCAUGGUUGUCGUCAGCUCGUGUCGUGAGAUGUUGGGUUAAGUCCCGCAACGAGCGCAACCCUUAUUGUUAGUUGCCAUCAUUAAGUUGGGCACUCUAGCGAGACUGCCGGUAAUAAACCGGAGGAAGGUGGGGAUGACGUCAAAUCAUCAUGCCCCUUAUGACCUGGGCUACACACGUGCUACAAUGGUCGGUACAACGAGUUGCGAGCCGGUGACGGCAAGCUAAUCUCUGAAAGCCGAUCUCAGUUCGGAUUGGAGGCUGCAACUC
rnacentral:rRNA from 1 species